CCACACAGUCGUGCGGUACUCUAGAUGGGUUAUUUUUGUUAACUGUGUGGGCGGGGUGAUAAAUUAGUCGUUGGUCUUUAUACCUGUUUAUCGGGUUUAGUUUUCUUUUUAUUGUGCUAGUGAUGAGAUUAGCACAAUGUCUAUAUAAGGGGUUGUGUGUAUUGUAGCUUAGGUUAGGAUUACCUGUGUGUCAUCGAGUGUGUCGUGAUUCAGUAGAAGCCUGUUUUGAUUAGCUAAACACCCCGUGUUGUUUAAAUUCAUUUAGUGAUUUAUGGUUUAAUAAGUAAUUAUAACAGUAGUAGUUUUUCUCGGGUCUGGACCAACUGUUUAUUAAAAACAUUUCUGCUUGCUUAGUUAUGAGCAGUACGCCCUGCCCGGUGUAUUAUUAACGGCCGCAGUAUUUUGACUGUGCGAAGGUAGCAUAAUUAAUUGCCCCAUAAUUGGGGGCUUGUUUGAAUGGGUUAAUGAGGCCAGAACCAAAAUUACUAUUUUUGGUGAAAUUAAUUAGGUGGGUACAGAAUCCACUUAGUUUAGUUAGACGGAAAGACCCCAGGAUCUUUUCAUUUGUCUGGGGCAGAUUAGCGUUUUUUACGUUAUUUGGGACCCUCUGAUUAGAGAUUUAAGUUACCCUGGGGAUAACAGAGUAAUGGCUAACGAGAGAUCAUAUCGACUUAGCCGAUUGCUACCUCGAUGUUGACUUGGGUUGUCCUAAUGGCGCAGUAGUUGUUAGGCGUGGUCUGU
rnacentral:rRNA from 1 species